rnacentral:rRNA from 1 species
UACGUAGGGGGCUAGCGUUGUCCGGAUUUAUUGGGCGUAAAGCGCGUGUAGGCGGCCAGGUAGGUCUGGUGUGAAAACUCGAGGCUUAACCUCGAGAUGUCAUCGGAAACCAUCUGGCUAGAGUCCGGAAGAGGAGAGUGGAAUUCCUGGUGUAGCGGUGAAAUGCGCAGAUAUCAGGAAGAACACCUAUGGCGAAGGCAGCUCGCUGGGACGGUACUGACGCUGAGACGCGAAAGCGUGGGGAGCGAACAGG